GUGCUUAACACAUGCAAGUCGAACGGGAUCCAUCGGGCUUUGCUUGGUGGUGAGAGUGGCGAACGGGUGAGUAAUGCGUGACCGACCUGCCCCAUGCACCGGAAUAGCUCCUGGAAACGGGUGGUAAUGCCGGAUGCUCCAUCACACCGCAUGGUGUGUUGGGAAAGCCUUUGCGGCAUGGGAUGGGGUCGCGUCCUAUCAGCUUGAUGGCGGGGUAACGGCCCACCAUGGCUUCGACGGGUAGCCGGCCUGAGAGGGCGACCGGCCACAUUGGGACUGAGAUACGGCCCAGACUCCUACGGGAGGCAGCAGUGGGGAAUAUUGCACAAUGGGCGCAAGCCUGAUGCAGCGACGCCGCGUGAGGGAUGGAGGCCUUCGGGUUGUAAACCUCUUUUGUUAGGGAGCAAGGCACUUUGUGUUGAGUGUACCUUUCGAAUAAGCACCGGCUAACUACGUGCCAGCAGCCGCGGUAAUACGUAGGGUGCAAGCGUUAUCCGGAAUUAUUGGGCGUAAAGGGCUCGUAGGCGGUUCGUCGCGUCCGGUGUGAAAGUCCAUCGCUUAACGGUGGAUCCGCGCCGGGUACGGGCGGGCUUGAGUGCGGUAGGGGAGACUGGAAUUCCCGGUGUAACGGUGGAAUGUGUAGAUAUCGGGAAGAACACCAAUGGCGAAGGCAGGUCUCUGGGCCGUUACUGACGCUGAGGAGCGAAAGCGUGGGGAGCGAACAGGAUUAGAUACCCU
rnacentral:rRNA from 1 species